GCAUUUUCAAAAGAGAUCUUUGAACGAUCUGCCCCAGAGACUGGACAACAUCGAUGAACGGGAAUGCAGUGGGCAGAGGACCCAAAGGGUUUCAUUUUCUGUCUUUUUUUAAACAAUCAAAAUGAAAAGGUGAGUGAGAAGUCACUGUGCCUAAAGAUAUAUCUGUUUUAAAAGUCCUAUAAAAGUCAAGAAUUAAUGGAAUUACUGUAUUUGUGUUUAUGUUUUUUAGUCAAGGAGUGCUGAGAUAUUUUUCUCUCAGGAAAGAGGUGGAAUUCAUGCUUCCGGAAAACCAUUUCUUGACGCUCAGUGAAAAGUGAACCCUAAAAUUUUGUAGUCUAUGGGAAAUAACAAGCGCCAGGAGAUGGAGGAGCAGCCUUUGUUUACUUUUAAGUUUCUUUCCUAUUAUUCACAUGUAUACUGUUUUGGGACUUGGUGAACACUUAAAUUUCACGUGAGAUAGAAUCUUCAACUCAGAAGCACCAGUCCCUCUCAUUUGAGGAAAGGAUGAGAAGGAAGGAAUGGCCUGACUUCCUCAUGUAUGCCCUGAUUCUUGGUAGGCACCAUGUUGGGGCUGUCAUACAUGUGCCGAAGCUUUGGGAAUGUUCCAUUUAAACACCGAUUUCAAGGCCAAUGCCUUACAUGGAGCACAAAUAUCCAGGAGGAUCUUCCAAGUAAACUCCUUGCCUUUGACUCCCUGCCUUGGGCCCUCUUCAGAAGAUCCUCAGACCAGGACAGGAGUGUAGAGGCCAGGACCGCAACUACAAUUUUGUCAUGAACAGCAAACCUGGGAACAACAAUCUGUAGACCCCUCAGAUUCUGCUGGACAUAUUUAACCUGCUGGGGAAUAGUUGAGAGGGAGGUGUCAGCAUGUCACCAGCCCACGGUUAGCUCCAGAGACUUAUACAAUUUAACAUGCUUGAGCCCUGUCAGUUUCACAUCUUGUUUUAGGGAGCUUACAUUCCCAGCAAAAAAAAAAAAAAAAAAAAAAAAAAAAAAAAAAAAAACAGUGGUGAUACUGGAAAUAUUGUAAAGUUUAAUUAUGUCUCAUCCAAUAAAAAUGAUUUAGGGA
rnacentral:lncRNA from 1 species